rnacentral:lncRNA from 1 species
UCAACUGUAACUCAUAUCCCAAUCUUGGAUAGCACGUCACAAUGACACCUAUCAGUUUACUACUGCACGAAUAUGGCGUCCCCUACGGAGAGUCUGGCUUCGGUGUAUUCCACAAAGGAAGUCAUAAGAUAGAGGCUUGAGUAUCAACUUCUAUAGUUGGGUUUUUAACUCCUGAAGUUCAAUAGGAGCCAUUCGAUAUGAGAUUUUAGAAAUGGGUUUUGUACCGGGUUCAAAGUCGAUACAAAAUUCAAUAUCACACUUUGGGAGUAGGCCAAGAAAUUCCUCAGGAAAUACGUCAGGAAAUUCACUAACAACAAAAAUAUCAUUCAAAUCUGACGUAUUAUUGUUCAAGUCCAUAACAUGGCUAAGAAAGCUUGACAUUCGUUUUUCAAUAAACAAAUAGCUUUGUGGUUUGAUAUGACAGUGUUUGACUUCAAUGGUUUGGUUGCUUAAAUUCGAAUAACAGGUUUGCUUAGG